rnacentral:rRNA from 1 species
GACGAACGCUGGCGGCGUGCCUAACACAUGCAAGUCGAGCGGAGACAGAUUUGAGCUUGCUUAGAUCUGUUUUAGCGGCGGACGGGUGAGUAACGCGUGAGCAACCUUUCUCUCAGUGGGGAAUAACACAGGGAAACUUGUACUAAUACCGCAUGAGACCACAAUGUCGCAUGGCAAAGGGGUCAAAGAUUAAUCGCUGAGAGGUGGGCUCGCGUCUGAUUAGAUAGUUGGUGGGGUAACGGCCUACCAAGUCGACGAUCAGUAGCCGACCUGAGAGGGUGAUCGGCCACAUUGGGACUGAGACACGGCCCAAACUCCUACGGGAGGCAGCAGUGGGGAAUAUUGGGCAAUGGGCGAAAGCCUGACCCAGCAACGCCGCGUGAAGGAAGAAGGCCUUCGGGUUGUAAACUUCUUUUGGUCAGGGACGGAAUAAAAUAGACGGUACCUGCAGAAUAAGCCACGGCUAACUACGUAG